rnacentral:rRNA from 1 species
UACAGAGGGUGCGAGCGUUGUUCGGAAUUACUGGGCGUAAAGCGCGCGCAGGCGGCUCUUUAAGUCUGACGGUGAAAUGCCGGGGCUCAACCCCGUGCCCGCCGCGGAUACUGGAGGGCUGGAGACACGUAGAGGCAAGCGGAAUUCCGGGUGUAGCGGUGGAAUGCGUAGAUAUCGGGAGGAACACCAGUGGCGAAGGCGGUUACCUGGAGCUUUGCUGACGCUGAUGCGCGAAAGCGUGGGGAGCGAUCCGG